AUUCAUGUAGUUUAUCAAAACAUUUCAUUUUCAAUGAAAAAAAGAACACACUUCCAUGAAUU
rnacentral:tRNA from 1 species